GUUCAAUCAUUCCACAUUAUUUCCGUGCUUUAAAAAGUGACAGCAAACUUGUGACAGAUAUUUACAGCUUUCAUGGGGAAUUUGUAACAAAGAUAUUAACAAUUUGCCUUCAGAAUGAGAGACACUGGAAAUGCAGAUGACAUGGUUGAAUCCUUACAAUAGAAUCUACAGAUGCACAAAAAACAAGCUCAACAUCAACCCAUCUGCCACUUUAGAACUGGUUCGCCUUUAUUAGAAU
rnacentral:misc_RNA from 1 species